GGUUAGGGUUAGGAUAGAGGAAGUGGAUGAGUCUCGGCACCGCGCAGCGGUGUCGAGGCUCCAUGCACGGGCCAUCCUGCUCCAGAUCAGGAAAGCUCUAUUUGGAGUUGAGGCCUUUGGGGUGUAAUGUUUCUAAUUUCAUAAUCCAGGUCCUCUCGGCUCGGGUUCUCUGUGUGGCAUUCCAGCUAGGGUCCAUCUGGAUGAUCGUGGCCCGGACAGACGACCAUCCAUGGGCCAGAAAAUGGCUGACCAGAGGGUGACCGCUGGCCUGGAAUAGGUGGUCACAAAGGGGAGAACCUCUGCCGUGUCUAAUGGCCUUGUCUCCAGGAAGGUGCUGAGGGCCUUACGCCGGAAGGAGCGUGAAUAUCCCCUGGUGGCCAGAGCCCUGAAGAGCGUCUUUGUGGCCGCCAUAAAAUCACUCUUAUGAGUGCAUAUUCUGUGGAACCGAAGUAAUUGGGAUUUCAGUAUGCCCCUAUAUGUGUGUUUUGGGUGGUGACUGUUUUUAAAGAGCAGAGCAUGGGUGUCUGUUUCCUUGAAGAAGACUUUAAUAUCUAAUUUGUUAGUCUGUUUGAAGUUUGUUCCUUUAUAGGUGGUGGUGUCCAAGAAGUCGACUGACGUGGUGCUGGUGGUGGACUUCAGUGUGAUGGACGGGUUGUGGUUAUUCAGGGUUGCCAGGGCGGAGGUCUCCCAUUCAGCCAUGAAAAUGUUGGCAUACGCCGGUGCAAAUUUCUUGCCCAUAGCCGUGCCUUUUAUUUGCAAAUAAAAUUUGUUGUCAAAUUCAAAAUCAUUCCUCCUCAGGUUAAUGGCAAGGAGUUGUAAUAAUUCCUUAUCUGGUCUUUUUUUAUCUGGAAAUUUUGUGAAAAUAUUCUUUAUGGCCUGAAUGCCUUCAUCAAUGUCAAUAUUAGUGUAUAAGCUGUCGACGUCCAUGGUGAACAGGAUGGAGUCGGGGGGGAUUUGGAGUUGUUUGACUGUAUUAACAAAAUGGUAGGUGUCCUUGAGAUAGCCCAAAUGUUUAUUGGAAAGGGGAUUGAUGUAGUAAUCAAUAAAUUGGGCCGUAUAGUAGGUCUCACUAUCACAAUCGGAGACAAUGGGUCUCCCAGGUGGGAUUUCGAAUGGAACACUCCAUUUUGAGGGUUCUUUAUGGAUCUUGGGUAACAGGUAAAACAAUCUGGGCCGGGGGAUUGGAUUACCCAGCAGGUAGGUGUAUUGUUUUUUAUUUAUGAAUUUUUUGUCUAAUAAUGAUUGAAUAAUUGGUUGCACCAUUUUUUUAGUUUCAGGGUAGAUAGGUUCCUUUAAGACAGAAUAAUACUUUGUGUCUGUUAGCUGUCUGUUACCCUCAAAUAAAUAUUGUUCCCUGUCCAUCAGUACUACUGCACUGCCUUUAUCUGCUGGCUUUAUGAUGAUGUUUUUGUUUUCUUUUAGGUCCUUAAGGGCUUCAAUUUCAUCUUGGUUGAGAUUGUUUUUGAUUGGGAGUGGCUGGAAAUUGUUUUCAAAAUAAUUAAUGUCAGCUUGGAUGAGGUCAGUGAUAUCUGGUGGCAAUUUAGAGAGGGGGGGGCUCCAAUCAGAUUUUUGGGUAAAGGGGGUGAAAAUUACAUCUUUUUUGUUUUGAAAAUAAACAUGGAGUUUGAUUCUCCUAUGAUAUUGCUGCAGGUCCCAUCUGCUUUGCUCAAUGAUGUUGCUCUGGCUCCCCCUAGUGGGGAUGAAAGAGAGGCCCCUGUCCAGGAGAGUGAACUGGGCCUGGGUUAAUUUGAAUGUCUGUGAUAACACCAGUACAUUUUUUGACCCCUCCUGAGAGUGCAGGCUUAUGGGGAUGAGCAUUUUAAAUACCCCGUCCAGUGUUCAAACAUGUGUUUGGCGGUGGCUUUUGUCCAAUGUAUGUUAUCUGCCCCAGUUUCAAAAGAUUUGGAGGGCAGUCUGGGGAUGAAGAGGCAGUUUUUUUGAAUAUGUGCGUUCAGGUGGACCAGGCAGGACUGCUCUUUGAGGGGUAAGUGACGGGAAUAAUUGAUUAAAGGCACCCAAACGGCCGCUUGGGGGAAUUUAGCUUCAGCUGCCUCCACUGUGGCUAAUAGCUGCUGUGUCAGGAUUGUUUUGGAUGCAGCGUUUCUGUUGUUUAUACCAAAAGAGAGGACCAAUUUCUCUAAUUUGGUGGAGGUGGUGGCCUUAUCAAUUAGCGUUUUAGCAUGUGCUAAUGUCGCUCCUGGGUAGCUGUCAAUUUGUAGGUUGGUGCUUUCAAAUGGAGGCAUUUUGGCCAAGUUAGAGUCUCCAAUGAAGGCCCACUCUUUGCCAAUGCUGAGGCCCCAAUCCUGUAUUUUAU